GGAAGAGGAGGCGGCUGCCCACAGCACGGCUGCUCAAGUCGCCCCCACCCCCAUGCAGCCCAUUUGGCAAGUCCCCCCCAAAAAACACCCCCACUGAGAAACUCGGACUGGUCAGGUGAAAUAUGGGGUAUCAACCUGCCUGGAGUAUUGUAUUACAUCCACUAAAAGUGGGUCUUGAUCUGAAGCCCAGGCUGGAGUACAGUGGUGCAAUCAUGGCUUACUGCAGCCUCAAACUCCUGGCUCAAAUGAUCCUCCCACCUUAGCCACCUGAGUAGCUGGAACUACAGGAGUGCCACCACGAUUCCUGUAACGGGCAGCAGGAAUCUUGAGUUGCAGAUUUCCACCCCACUAAGGCUGAUGACAAGGAGGCAAAUAGGCCAAUGGCCUUCAGCCUUUGAUCCUGUAGAGGAGGACGGCACGUGCUUGGCAGGACUCGGAAAGCCUUCUAGCAGAAAUAACAGCUCCCAGGAGCUCCACACUGGGUCUAUCCUUCUACCUUUCAAGCUUCUUUCUCUCUUCCUUUUAAGUUGUUGUUUUAUAAUUAUUAAUUAAAGCA